ensembl:lncRNA
AGUGAGAUAGAGCGAGAGAGAGAGAGGGAGAGAGAGAGAGGGAGAGAGAGAGAGAGGGUUACUCGGGAAAACAAAGCAGAGGGAUUGGCCAGCAGAGUCUCCCAUCAGUGCAAAGAAGGUGCCUGCACCUCUGAGAAUAAAGGAUUGGGAAGGCUCCGGUAGAAGGUCGAGAAGAACAUCGGUGCCUGCUCAGAAACUACAGGAGCACCACAUCAUGGCUGUCCCACUCAUGCCCGAAUCGGCUGUUUGUCUGCUAAUGGAACUUGAUAGUAAAAGGAAGGAUGAUUCUCCACACCACGACGCUGACCUACUCUGACGGAAGAGGCGGGAGAGAGGAGGAGAUUCUGGAGGACGAUGACAUCAUGCUGAGAUAAUUGAUUAGCUCACUGUAACAAUGGCAAGUGUCUGUUUGUGUGUAUGUGUGUGUAUCUGAGAUCACCACGAUGUGAC